UACAGAGGUGGCAAGCGUUGUUCGGAAUCACUGGGCGUAAAGGGCGUGUAGGCGGUUCGGUAAGUGGGAUGUGAAAUGCCCGGGCUCACCCCGGGACCUGCAUCUCAUACUGCUGAGCUUGAGUACAGGAGAGGGUGGGGGAAUUCCUGGUGUAGCGGUGAAAUGCGUAGAUAUCAGGAGGAACACCGGUGGCGAAGGCGCCCACCUGGCCUGCUACUGACGCUGAUGCGCGAAAGCUAGGGGAGCAAACGGG
rnacentral:rRNA from 1 species